GUGCUUUCCUUGCAAGCAUGAGGCCUUGUGUUUGAUCCCCACAAACCAUGCCAGAAAGCAUCAGAGAAGUAAAGAUUAUAGUUUUAGGACACCAAGAGAGGUGAGGCGAGGCUCUGAGCCAGGCUGGAGGUGGAUGGUUCCCAUGGAUGUGGAGGAGUACAGUGAAGAAGCCAUUAUGAAGGCAGAAAAGGCACUUGAGUGGGAUCUUUCCAGACCCUGGCAGACUUCGUUCCUUUGAUCCUGGCAGACAUACUUCCAUUGUCUCAGCCAAGAAGCAGGUCCUGGAGCACAUCUGGUCACAUU